rnacentral:rRNA from 1 species
UACGUAGGGUGCGAGCGUUGUCCGGAAUUACUGGGCGUAAAGAGCUCGUAGGUGGUUUGUCGCGUUGUCCGUGAAAACUCACAGCUCAACUGUGGGCGUGCGGGCGAUACGGGCAGACUGGAGUACUGCAGGGGAGACUGGAAUUCCUGGUGUAGCGGUGGAAUGCGCAGAUAUCAGGAGGAACACCGGUGGCGAAGGCGGGUCUCUGGGCAGUAACUGACGCUGAGGCACGAAAGCGUGGGUAGCAAACAGG